rnacentral:rRNA from 10 species
CAUGACCUCAUUGGGGUAGGACAACCCGCUAGACUUAAGCAUAUCA